AAGUUUUUAUUAUUUUUAAUGUUUUGAUAUGUUAAUAUUAAAAAUAAAAUUUAAAAAAUAAAAAAUAUUAUUUUAAUAUAUUUUUACCGCAAUAGAUUUUAAUAAUUUGAAAACUAAAAAUCUAAACAAACAACAUUUGACAUAUUUUUUCUUGUUUAGAAAAAUUGAAAACAAAAGCGAGAACAUAUAGAAUAAAUAAAUAAAUAAAAAGCCAGCACAGCCCUUUGAUUUGUUUAUGUAAUUUAUCCGGCAUUUUAAUAGGUGAGAGAGCAUGGAGGAUUGGAUGGAACAUGGAAGGCAGCUGGAUCCCAAUGCUCUAUCUAGGGUUCAUAAUAUUGAAAAUAUGGUAAUAAUAAUAAUAAAAAAAGUAAUGGAAGGUGACGUUUGGGUGACGCCUAACUUCACGUCUUCUCAUGCGAUUCCCCGUCUUGGUGGUGCUGCUUCUAAUGGCCAUGGCGGGUUUGUUCCUCUACCAUUUCGUGGUGCUGCUUCUAAUGGCCAUGGCGGGUUGAUUGCUCUCUCUUUGUAUGCCACUCGGAGGUUACCGCCAUCUUCUUUUAAGCAGACAAGACCCCGAGGCUUAAGCCAUCCAAUCAUCACAAUAUUUUCUGCACCUACUGCCCCUGGCUCCAACCAGAGUCUUGCUAUUCGAUCAUGGCUUGCUUUGUCCCCUCAAAUCACUGUCGUUUUGUUCACUCAACACCCUUCUUUUGCCUCCGCUUUUGGUUCCCGGGUUUUGGUUGAUUCCACUACUGAUUUCACGUUACUUGGCACCCCAUUCUUUCAUUCCAUGCUUGAAAAAUCACGGUUAUACACGACAGGUAUUACAGUUUUUGUUGAUCCACGGACGGUUCUUGUGUCUGACCUCAUUUCCACCUUAAAUUAUGCUUACGAACAUGACCGUGAUUAGCUUCUUGUGGCUUCGUUACGAAACGUUGCAUACUUCCCGUUCCAUUUGGAUGAUGCUGGGGAACACUGGCUUAGAGAGGAUGGCCAAAGGGUAAGACGCCAGGAGUUGCAGGGGAUGCUUGGUCAUCAUUGGCAGUGGAAUCAUUGUGAGGACAGAAUGCUUAUGGCAUGGAACAACAGAAAUCUACCUUUACAUAAUGGAGUACUUCCUCCUUUCUUGUAUGGCAAGGGGUUUCACAUCCACUGGAUCAUCAAUG